rnacentral:rRNA from 1 species
GUUGAACGCUGGCGGCGUGCCUAACACAUGCAAGUCGAGCGAAGCGGGGACGGGUGAGUAACACGUGGAUAACAUCCUAUAAGACUGGGAUAACUUCGGGAAAGCGGGGCUAAACCGGUAACUGAUAAGAGGGGCAGGGGUGCAUUAGCUAGUUGGUAAGAUAACGGAUCACCAAGGCAACGAUGCCUAGCCGGCCUGAGAGGAUGAUCGGCCACACUGGAACUGAGAAACGUUCCAGACUCCUACGUGAGGCAGCAGUGGGGAAUCUUCCGCAAUGGGCGAAAGCCGGACGGAGCAACGCCGCGUGUGUGAAGAAGGUCUUCGGAUCGUAAAACUCUGUUAGUAGGGAAGCGUUACCCGAUCAGAAAGCACCGGCUAACUACGUGCCAGCAGCCGCGGUAAUUC